rnacentral:lncRNA from 1 species
CUGAGAGAUCACUCCAGGAACAUCAUUAUUUAACCAGAACUGGUUGGUGGACAGCUGAAAUAAUUAUGGGUGCACUGGAGGACAGAGAACGGUGAUGGGAAAGAGAAGAGAGCUUUAAGAGAAUGAGCUGAGCCCUCAGUAUCUCUCAGAGGCAACCUGUGAUGCUGAAUUUUCUACUGUAGAUUGUACUUUUC